CAUUAAGAAGCUAAAUUUAGCGUCAACCUUUUAAGUUGAAGAUUGAGAGCCUAUGACUCCCCUUAAUGA
rnacentral:tRNA from 1 species